rnacentral:rRNA from 1 species
UACGUAGGGGGCAAGCGUUGUCCGGAUUUAUUGGGCGUAAAGAGCGUGUAGGCGGCCUGACAGGUCUGCUGUGAAAACUCGAGGCUCAACCUCGAGAUGUCGGCGGAAACCGUCUGGCUAGAGUCCGGAAGAGGAGAGUGGAAUUCCUGGUGUAGCGGUGAAAUGCGUAGAGAUCGGGAGGAACACCAGCGGCGAAGGCGGCCCCCUGGGCCGCUCCUGACGCUGAGGCGCGAAAGCUAGGGGAGCAAACGGG